UUUGAAUCAUGUUUUUUCUUGAUUGUUGUUACUGAGUACAUUAUGUAUGCUUACAGGGACACGGGGCCAGUGGACAAGUACAGUGUGGGAUUUCAUGUGACUGGCCUGACAGUGGGCGUGGUCAGUCUCCGCCUCUCAGCAGUGGAUGGACAUGGGUCUGUUAUAAGCUCCUCUCACAAGAAUAUGCAAGUUUACCCUCCAUUCAGUUUGCAGCCCUGUAAACUUACUCUGUCAGUUGGAAGCUUGCCAAAGGUGAAACGGGAGGGAUUCAUCCUCAGUAUGUUGUCAGGUUCUCUGUGAGUGACAGCUCUGUCACCAUGGUAACUGAGACAGGACGGGUCAGAGGUGUGGCAGUGGGUGCAGUCAAACUCAGAGGAGCUCUUCAGACACAAGAUACAGAAGCAUUGAUUACCUUUUUACAGGAUGAAGUGGAGGUGGAGGUGUUCAACCUGACAGCAGUGAGGAUACAGGCUCCUUUAGUCACUCUAUGAACACCUUAUGAAAAGAG